rnacentral:rRNA from 1 species
AACGAACGCUGGCAGCAUGCCUAACACAUGCAAGUCGAACGAGAUCUUCGGGUCUAGUGGCGCACGGGUGCGUAACGCGUGGGAAUCUGCCCCUUGGUUCGGAAUAACAGUUGGAAACGACUGCUAAUACCGGAUGAUGACGAAAGUCCAAAGAUUUAUCGCCAGAGGAUGAGCCCGCGUAGGAUUAGCUAGUUGGUGUGGUAAAGGCGCACCAAGGCGACGAUCCUUAGCUGGUCUGAGAGGAUGAUCAGCCACACUAGGACUGAGACACGGCCCAGACUCCUACGGGAGGCAGCAGUGGGGAAUAUUGGACAAUGGGCGAAAGCCUGAUCCAGCAAUGCCGCGUGAGUGAUGAAGGCCUUAGGGUUGUAAAGCUCUUUUACCCGGGAUGAUAAUGACAGUACCGGGAGAAUAAGCUCCGGCUAACUCCGUGCCAGCCGCCGCAGUAA